AAUUGGGUCUUACGCGGCGCACACUUGCUAACCCCGCCAGGGCCGGAAGGCAGCAACGGUACGUGAGUCACUGUGGGUGUCGUAGGGUCGCCUAAUUGGU
rnacentral:SRP_RNA from 1 species